GGUACUCGAGUGGCGAACGGGUGAGUAACACGUGGGUGAUCUGCCCUGCACUUUGGGAUAAGCUUGGGAAACUGGGUCUAAUACCGAAUAUGACCACUUCUUGGAUGUUGUGGUGGAAAGCUUUUGCGGUGUGGGAUGAGCCUGCGGCCUAUCAGCUUGUUGGUGGGGUAAUGGCCUACCAAGGCGGCGACGGGUAUCCGGCCUGAGAGGGUGUACGGACACAUUGGGACUGAGAUACGGCCCAGACUCCUACGGGAGGCAGCAGUGGGGAAUAUUGCACAAUGGGCGCAAGCCUGAUGCAGCGACGCCGCGUGGGGGAUGAAGGCCUUCGGGUUGUAAACUCCUUUCGCUAUCGACGAAGCCACUUGUGGUGACGGUAGGUAGAUAAGAAGCACCGGCUAACUACGUGCCAGCAGCCGCGGUAAUACGUAGGGUGCAAGCGUUGUCCGGAAUUACUGGGCGUAAAGAGCUCGUAGGUGGUUUGUCGCGUCGUCUGUGAAAUCCCGGGGCUUAACUUCGGGCGUGCAGGCGAUACGGGCAUAACUUGAGUGCUGUAGGGGAGACUGGAAUUCCUGGUGUAGCGGUGAAAUGCGCAGAUAUC
rnacentral:rRNA from 1 species